rnacentral:misc_RNA from 1 species
GGAAUAUAUUCAUGGAAACUUUGUGCCAAAGAGAGCAUUUGAUCCUGGAACUCGAAUGGGCCGGUUAGCAGAAAUAGGAGGUUGCAGAAGAGGAAAGUGGCUUGGGAUUGCAAAUGGCUGGGGGCCCCCCCCCACAAAAAGGGGGGGGAGGUGGGGGCGCACACAGUUGCAAGGCCUGGCCUGUUGCACUCCCUUGGUGCUUAGGAUAUUGGACCUGAUGUUGAGUCAACAGAGGACGUGCAGAUACAGGCGAGAUAGUUGCUGUACUCUGAACCAAAUCAUGAGGAACUGGCUGCACAUAGACAAUCUGCCCAACUCGUCCAACCAUAACAGCUUGAGAAUUUGGAGGCACAUAUGUUGGUGCAGCCUGAACAGCAUGAUAUUGACCAGCAUAUCUAAGUGGC